GCGGGAGUAGCUCAGCUGGUAGAGCAUCACGUUGCCAACGUGAGGGUCGAGGGUUCGAAUCCCUUCUCCCGCUCCA
rnacentral:tRNA from 1 species